rnacentral:rRNA from 1 species
UACGUAGGGGGCGAGCGUUGUCCGGAUUCAUUGGGCGUAAAGAGCUCGUAGGCGGUUCAGCAAGUCGGGUGUGAAACCUCCAGGCUCAACCUGGAGACGCCACCCGAUACUGCUGUGACUUGAGUCCGGUAGGGGACCACGGAAUACCUGGUGUAGCGGUGAAAUGCGCAGAUAUCAGGAGGAACACCUAUUGCGAAGGCAGCUCGCUGGGACGUAACUGACGCUGAGACGCGAAAGCGUGGGGAGCAAACAGG